UGCUGGCCUUCUUGAGCAAAGGACAGUCCGCUCUGAAGUGUCCCGGCUUCUUACAUUCGUAGCAUCCGAUUCCCUCAUUUUUCCUUUUCUUACCUUUAUCCUUGUAAUAGGAACUUGAGGGACCUCUCCUUUGAUGAAAGGACUUCUUUCGGUUGAUGAAUUUUCUGAACUUACGUACGAGAAGAGCCUCAUCAUCAUCUCCCUCAUGAUCUUCUUCUUCACUGCU
rnacentral:lncRNA from 1 species